GAGCGACUUAUUUCCGCGAGGAAGUAUUUGUCUCCACUGCCAGCUGCCGCGUUCCCUCCCAGCAGGCAGCCACGCCAUCCGCCCUCCCACACGUCUUUUCUCUGUGCAUAUACGAUGUCUCCUUCAAGUCUCUGGGUUCUGGCGUGCCUGGCAGCCGUAGUGGUGGGCGGCGGCACAGCGGAGGAGCAAUGUCACACCUUCGCGGGUGGUGCCGUCUACCCCAACACCGAGGGCCGCGCGUCGGGCCACAACUUGCAAUGGACCACGGCCAUGAUAAGUAAACCAGCACCAGAGUGGGAAGGAACAGCUGUAAUUGAUGGACAGUUUCAAGAGCUGAAGCUCAAAGAUUACCGUGGGAAGUACUUGGUCUUCUUUUUCUACCCACUGGACUUCACCUUUGUGUGUCCAACAGAAAUCUUGGCAUUCAAUGACAGAGUAGAAGAAUUUAGAGCAUUGAAUGCAGAAGUUGUGGCAUGUUCUAUUGACUCUCACUUUACUCAUCUUGCCUGGACAAAUACCCCACGAAAGGAAGGUGGACUGGGCAAGCUGAAAAUUCCUCUCCUGUCAGAUAUUACACACAAAAUUUCCAAAGAUUAUGGAGUUUAUCUUGAAGAUCAAGGCAUUGCUCUCAGGGGCUUAUUCAUCAUUGAUGAGAGAGGAGUACUGCGCCAGAUAACCAUGAAUGAUUUGCCAGUCGGAAGGUCUGUGGAUGAAACUCUCCGUCUAGUUCAAGCAUUCCGAUUUACAGAUGACCAUGGAGAAGUUUGCCCAGCUGGGUGGAAACCAGGAGAUGACACUAUCAUCCCAAAUCCUCAAGAAAAGCUGAAGUAUUUCAAAAAAGCAAAUCAGUAGAGAUGUGCUCUCAUUCUUGCAAUGACUGGUAAAUUGUUGCAUUGCUUCAAGCACCACCUGUGACAAAUGAGCCCACCUCAAGAUCAAUCACCCAUCUCAAUGAUCCAGGACAUGCAUUGUGGGUUGCUCUAUGCCGCCACCGCCUACAGUUAGCUCGAAUUAGGUGUUAUGAGCUGAGCCCCAUACGGGUCCACCGCUUCAGCGGACCGACUCGCGGGAGCCCAAAAAUGGGUCCGCCGACUUUGCCGGGUUAAUAGUAAAAAUUGUUCAAGGGGAAAGGUUUUGAAAUGUCACAGAGGGAUUGGAAUCAUAAUAGAUCUUUCAAUUUUUCAUCUUGCAAGUGUGAGGUUCAUUCCAUUACUUUAAUUAUCAAACUCAUGCAUAAAUGUUUGUCGGUUAAUCAGUAGAUUACUGUUUGAUUACCAUUUUAAUUAAUGAUUGAAGGUGGUGGGGUUGUAAGUAUUAUCUAGGGCUGUACUGCUAAACUUUUCUGAUGUAAGCUGUGCAGUGUUUUUGCUGCAUAACUCACUUCACAUAAUUUGAAAAGGAAAAGUGCUGUGUAAUAUUUACAUGAAUAAACAUAAAAUAUGAAA